rnacentral:rRNA from 1 species
CCGGUACUCCGAAUGACCUACGGCUUAAUUUGAUCAUGGCUCAGAGCCAACGCUGGUNAGUAGUGCCUAACACAUGCAAGUCGAACGGCAGCACAGGAGAGCUUGCUCUCUGGGUAGGCGAGUAGGCGGACGGGUAGAGUGAAUACAUACGGAAUCUACUCUAGUCGUGGGGGAUAACGUAGGGAAACUAUACGCUAAUACCGCAUACGACCUACGGGUGAAAGCAGGGUGAUCUUCGGACCUUGCGCGAUUGAAUGAGCCGAUGUCUGGAUUAGCUAGUUGGCGGGGUAAAGGCCCACCAAGGCGACGAUCCGUAGCUAGGUACAGAGAGGAUAGAUACAGCCACACUGGAACUAGAGACACGGUCCAGACUACCUACGGGAGGCAGCAGUGGGGAAUAUUGGACAAUGGGCGCAAGCCUAGAUCCAGCCAUACCGCGUAGGGUAGAAGAAGGCCUUCGGGUUAGUAAAGCCCUUUUGUAUGGGAAAGAAAUCCAGCCGGCUAAUACCUAGGUUGGGAUGACGGUACCCAAAGAAUAAGCACCGGCUAACUUCGUGCCAGCAGCCGCGGGUAAUACCGAAAGGGGUAGCAAGCGUUAACUCGGGAAUUAACGUAGGGGCGUACAAAGGCG